rnacentral:lncRNA from 10 species
GUCCGUGAAGCCUUGCAGCAAUGCAGCCUAGGUAAGUUGCUGAGACUGAUGGGUGUCAGAGUCAGUCCAAGUGAAAGUGAAGAGAGGCUGGGAUGAAGGGUGCAAAGGAUAGUAAAGAAAGCAUCUUUGAGAUCUAGAACAGAAUAAUGGGUUGUAGGUGAAUCUUUCUCAUGGAGCAAAGAGGAGGAGGACAGCGGAUUAAUCUCAC